UACGAAGGGGGCUAGCGUUGCUCGGAAUGACUGGGCGUAAAGGGCGCGUAGGCGGCUUGCACCGUCAGAUGUGAAAUUCCUGGGCUUAACCUGGGGGCUGCAUUUGAUACGUGUGGGCUGGAGUGCGGAAGAGGGUCGUGGAAUUCCCAGUGUAGAGGUGAAAUUCGUAGAUAUUGGGAAGAACACCGGUGGCGAAGGCGGCGACCUGGUCCGUGACUGACGCUGAGGCCGCGAAAGCGUGGGGAGCAAACAGG
rnacentral:rRNA from 1 species